rnacentral:misc_RNA from 1 species
GAUGAAGAACGUAGCGAAAUGCGAUACUUGGUGUGAAUUGCAGAAUCCCGUGAACCAUCGAGUUUUUGAACGCAAGUUGCGCCCGAAGCCACUAGGCCGAGGGCACGUCUGCCUGGGCGUCACACGUCGUUGCCCCUCCCAACCCCUCCGGGAGUUGGCUGGGACGGAUGAUGGCCUCCCGUGCGCUCCGUCGCGCGGUUGGCAUAAAUAACAAGUCCUCGGCGGCCAACGCCGCGACAAUCGGUGGUUGUCAAACCUCGGUGUCCUGUCGCGUGCGAGUCGUCCGGGGCUUUUCCAAUCUGAUGCGCGUCGAUUCGUCGGCGCUUUCAACGCGACCCCAGGUCAGGCGGGGUUACCCGCUGAAUUUAAGCAUAUCAAUAAGCGGAGGA